AGGCAGGGGCAUGUUGAGGGUUGGGGACAGCUAACUGGGGGACCGCACGCACGAAUGGUGCAAAAUUAGCCGAAGAGUGCGGGCGGGGGGUGAAAGGCCGAUCGAACCGAGAGAUAGCGAGGUCGCCCUGAAAGCUAGUUAGCUCGCGCAGCGAGUACUCAUGUACCGGGGGAGAGCACUGGUUCGGGUAGGGGGUGAUCCCGACGUACAAACCCGGUGCAGACUGCGGAUACCGGAGAAUGUUAUCACAGGAGACACACGGCGGGUGCUAACGUCGGUCGUGAAG
rnacentral:rRNA from 1 species